rnacentral:rRNA from 1 species
GACGAACGCUGGCGGCGUGCUUAACACAUGCAAGUCGAACGGAAAGGCCCUGCUUGCAGGGUACUCGAGUGGCGAACGGGUGAGUAACACGUGGGUGAUCUGCCCUGCACUUCGGGAUAAGCCUGGGAAACUGGGUCUAAUACCGGAUAGGAGCCAUUUUUAGUGUGAUGGUUGGAAAGUUUUUUCGGUGUAGGAUGAGCUCGCGGCCUAUCAGCUUGUUGGUGGGGUAAUGGCCUACCAAGGCGGCGACGGGUAGCCGGCCUGAGAGGGUGGACGGCCACAAUGAGACUGAGAUACGGCCCAGACUCCUACGGGAGGCAGCAGUGGGGAAUAUUGCACAAUGGGCGCAAGCCUGAUGCAGCGACGCCGCGGGGGGGAUGACGGCCUUCGGGUUGUAAACUCCUUUCGCUAGGGACGAAGCUUUUUGUGACGGUACCUAGAUAAGAAGCACCGGCUAACUACGUG